ACCAAAAUAAAGAAAUUAAAAACCAAAUUGCACAGUAAAGUGAUGUUGGUGUGGUGGGUCUAGUCUGGUUUUAUCUUGGAUGAGAGAAAGAGUCUAAACAAAUGCGAUUGACGUUUGUCAGCACUCAAAUAUUUAUUUUAGUUGAAAUUUAUAGCAUUAGAUAAGUGCAUGCACUGCUCUUCAAUCUAAUCUACUUUUUUUGACGAAAUAAGGGCACUGCCCGACUGCCGCACUGUGACUCUUCAUUAGACUUUUUGGCGGAAUAAGGACAUUGUGACUCUUCAUUAGACUUUUUGGCGGGAUAAGAACAUUGUGACUUUUCAGUCUUGUAAUUUAUUUAUCACUCCAGACUUUCAAAAACUGUUUGAUAUACUUUGUG
rnacentral:lncRNA from 1 species